AGAGUUUGAUCCUGGCUCAGGACGAACGCUGGCGGCACGCUUAACACAUGCAAGUCGAACGAGAGAAGAGAAGCUUGCUUUUCUGAUCUAGUGGCGGACGGGUGAGUAACACGUGAGCAAUCUGCCUUUCAGAGGGGGAUACCGAUUGGAAACGAUCGUUAAUACCGCAUAACAUAAUUGAACCGCAUGAUUUGAUUAUCAAAGAUUUAUCGCUGAAAGAUGAGCUCGCGUCUGAUUAGCUAGUUGGUAAGGUAACGGCUUACCAAGGCGACGAUCAGUAGCCGGACUGAGAGGUUGAUCGGCCACAUUGGGACUGAGACACGGCCCAGACUCCUACGGGAGGCAGCAGUGGGGAAUAUUGCACAAUGGAGGAAACUCUGAUGCAGCGAUGCCGCGUGAGGGAAGAAGGUUUUAGGAUUGUAAACCUCUGUCUUCAGGGACGAAAAAAAGACGGUACCUGAGGAGGAAGCUCCGGCUAACUACGUGCCAGCAGCCGCGGUAAUACGUAGGGAGCGAGCGUUGUCCGGAAUUACUGGGUGUAAAGGGAGCGUAGGCGGGAUCGCAAGUCAGAUGUGAAAACUAUGGGCUUAACCCAUAAACUGCAUUUGAAACUGUGGUUCUUGAGUGAAGUAGAGGUAAGCGGAAUUCCUAGUGUAGCGGUGAAAUGCGUAGAUAUUAGGAGGAACAUCAGUGGCGAAGGCGGCUUACUGGGCUUUAACUGACGCUGAGGCUCGAAAGCGUGGGGAGCAAACAGGAUUAGAUACCCUGGUAGUCCACGCCGUAAACGAUGAUUACUAGGUGUGGGGGGACUGACCCCUUCCGUGCCGCAGCAAACGCAAUAAGUAAUCCACCUGGGGAGUACGACCGCAAGGUUGAAACUCAAAGGAAUUGACGGGGGCCCGCACAAGCAGUGGAGUAUGUGGAUUAAUUCGAAGCAACGCGAAGAACCUUACCAGGUCUUGACAUCGUAUGCAUAGCUCAGAGAUGAGUGAAAUCUCUUCGGAGACAUAUAGACAGGUGGUGCAUGGUUGUCGUCAGCUCG
rnacentral:rRNA from 1 species